UAACCUUCCCAAAUCAUUCUUGAUUAUAUUUGAGCCUUAGAAGAGUGUUUUUGAGUGCACCAUUGUUUCAUAACUUGCAUAUCUUUAGUGCACCAUUCAAUCCUAGUUUUUCUUGUAUCUUUGAGCCUAAAGUUCUAUUACUAGGAUUUUUGUGAGAUCAUUAUUUGUAUAUCUUUGUGAGGAAUUUUCUCAAGUGAGGGGUAUCACUUGAGAGGUUAUUCAAGA
rnacentral:lncRNA from 1 species